AAGAAAGUCAUUUGCGGGAAGAAGAAAAGUUAGAACGUGAAAGUAGAAACAAAAAACUCGAAGCUGAAAAUACUAACUUGCGAAAUCACUUGAAAGAUCAGGAAGAACAGAUGGAGAAAAAACAAAGGGAUGUAGUGAAGAAAACCGAGACAAUAGCAAAACUGCGAGAAAGUGAACGACUAAUGCAUGAGAAAUAUAAAAAUUUCCGUUGCAACGUUAUCUGUUAUGCUGUCAUUUGUAUCGCUGUCCUGGUCGCUGUUCAUGAUGUUAUGGGAAUAUCAUUGCAAG